ensembl:lncRNA
CCCCCCUUGGAAAAAGCAACGAGAUGACAGGAAUGGAGGGAAGCGGGGAAGCGCCUCAAGGCUGGACAUGAUGGCAGUAAUGCCUGUGUGCGUCGGACAACUGGCGAAGAAGGUGAUUUCAAUUUAAAACAAAAAAAACACCCCGUUUGAGGAAGAUGGAGAGGGACACGACGCGAUCACGUUACGGAACUAACUGUUCCGACCCGGCAGUUCAGAACAAGGACGUAGGGACGAAGCACACACGUCAGCGAGCGCGUCUUCAUUUCCCCAUGUGUUGCAAGUACAAGGAGUUCCCUCUUGAAAUUAAAUGGAAGGCUGUGCGGGGCUCCAGUGCAUCUAAGGACGAAUUUAUAAUCAGAAAGGAAGGGCGGUUUGCCUCAAGACUCCUGCAAGCGGGCGGGGUGACGGUAUUACCGUUGCUCUGUCACUGGCAUCCUGUGUGUAUCGUGCGAAUGCCAGGGCAGUAACACAGAUGAGACGUUACGCAGUGAGUUCCAUUUGAAAAUGUAAUUUUAUGUACUGUGGAUCGCAGUGUGAAUUCCAGAGCAAAUAGCGAGAGCGCGCCCUUUGUUUCUGUCCGUUUCCAAAAUAGUUACCGGAGUGGUUUGCAGUGGUGGCGGGACCUAAGCGCACCUUUGGUGAGCCGCUUUGAUGGAGUUGUCAGAAACAGGAGCCUUGGCGUGCUCCUCCGGUGUGACUGCGGUGCUGAGAAAUGAAAAGCAAAAAGAAAUUGUUGUGGCACAUUGUUGAAGAGCCCAGGCAGGAAAUUGGUUUUAAAAUACGUCACAUACCAGCUUUCAGGUGUCGUGUUGUAUGGAAUCGGACUGAAUGAGGUGUGACGUCCACUGUGUGUGUGUCUGCGUGUGAGAUCCAAACUGGAAGAGAGUGCAUUUCUUGUAGAAACAGAAGAAGCACAUGUAGUGGAAGUAUAUCUCUAUUCUCAGGUGAGGACACAUUUACACGUAUUCAUUUAGCAGACGCUUUUCUCCAAAGCGAUGUACAUCUCAUAGAAAAUGCAAUGUGUUCAUAGAAAAUGCAAUGUGUUCAUUACAUUAGAAGAAAGACAUAGCUGCAGAUGUGUGACUUAAGUACAGUUAGUUUCCUUCACUAUAUGUACCAACAUUCAUCACACAAGUAGCUGCAUAAAACUUUACCAGAAUAUCGUCACCUUCCUAGCCUAGUCUUUUUUUUUAUAUAUAUAUCACUGGAUGUUUCAGGUGAACUAAGCUGGCUGAGAUGCUAAGGCACUGUAGAUUUAUAGAAAGAAAAUAUUUAACUUAGAAACUAUGUAUAUAUGAUAUUUAUUUUUUUUUGUAUUGCCAAAGUUGUUCAUCUGCAGGGACUUUCAGAUUUUAUACUUUACUGAAACAGAUUUGGCCAAGUACCUUACUAAAAAUCCUUGAAAAAGCCGCCUCCACAUAAUAAGUUUGUUUCCUUAGCUACGGUACCUGUUCUAACAAUAAUGUGUCUGUGAACCGCGAACGCCUGCUCGCAAUUACAAGUAACUAUUCUCAGAGUGUGUGGUGUUUAAAAAGUCCAUGAAAAUCACACUCUGUUUAUUCGUCGCACUGGAUGAAGACACUCAACACCAGUGUUUACGAAGGGAGAACUCCAGACAAAGGGUGGACGUACAGGGAAGGGAGCCAUUAUCUGUCCUCUCUAGUAAUAAGGUCAUUUAAUACUCCAUCCAGAAUCCAAGUUUUGAGUCACAGCCCCUUAGUCAAAGCCAUGGCGUACACACUCCCACACACAUAAACACACACGGUGUCACAGAUAGGUGGAUAUUAAAUCAGUCAUGUGAUAUCACUGGAAUAUAUCAUGUUGGGUAAGUCAAAAGUCUUGCCUUGUUCGCUCCAGCUGCCAGGGACAAUGUCUUCUUCUAAAGUAAAUAAAAAGCAAGUUGUUCAUUAUUCCA